rnacentral:rRNA from 1 species
UACGGGGGGGGCAAGCGUUGUUCGGAAUUACUGGGCGUAAAGGGCUCGUAGGCGGCCAACUAAGUCGGACGUGAAAUCCCCAGGCUCAACCUGGGAACUGCGUCCGAUACUGGAUGGCUUGAAUCCGGGAGAGGGAUGCAGAAUUCCUGGUGUAGCGGUGAAAUGCGCAGAUAUCAGGAGGAACACCGGUGGCGAAGGCGGUGGUCUGGGCCAGUACUGACGCUGAGGAGCGAAAGCGUGGGUAGCAAACAGG